CGUUGUGGCGGGGCGCGGGGGGAAAGCAGGCACGGCGGCGGGGAGCCCGUCCGCGCCGCCACCGGGGCCCGGCGCCACCCCGGCGUGGGACCGCGCGGGGCGAGCCCUGCCCACCGCUGCGGACAGCGUGGCGGCAGCGGCGUGGGGACCCGGGAGAAGGUGUCGCUCGCCAGCCGCCACCUGCGAGGCAGCCCCCGCCGGAGGAGCGGCCAACCCGGGCUGGGGGAGCCCUGGGCCAGGGCCCCCCCCCACCUGCCUCCCCCGGCAGGCGGGGGCUCCCCGCUAGGCACCAGCCCUGACCUGUGCAUCCUUCAAAACGCACCUCUCCACCCUGAGUUAGGAUAAAGUGCAGGCAUAGUGGAAUUUAAACCCAGUUUUCCAAUUUUCGGCUUUUUCUUAAAACUGACAGUGUCUUCCCUGAGAACGUGAGAAUCUUGGCAAAGUCAGUUCUGGAACAAAGCCUUUCAGCUUAUGAGCGCAACUUAGGUAGGACAACGAUUACUUAAAACAAUGCCAUGGUUUGCAGACAUACUGCAUUCUGCAUGUAUACAGAAGUAUAUUCCUCAGCCAGGCAUGGUGCUCAUUUUGUGGCUGCUGUAUGGAGACAUCCUGGCCGUCCUCUACCCUGCUUCUGUUUGAGAAUGGCAGGAGUAGAUUACUAAGGUUGGGUUGCAGAUCUGCGCACAACACCGAUAUUACCGGUUCUGUCUCUUCCUUUUAAAGUGACAUCUGUCAAAUUAUCUAAGAGUUUCACCUCCCACAAGUAUACAGCAUAGCUGAGAGUUUCUUCACAAUUCACUAUUAACUUGAAGUAAAAAUCAGUAUGUUUACUUGCUAAAUGAGUCUGUUCCAGGCUAUCUAUUUAGUAACAGCUAUACAGGUUUUUUUGGCAGAGAGAAGUGGUUUGAUACUUCAACUGAGACUUACUUGCUUUUAAGGACUUGAUCCUAGAGACUUCUCAGGCAUUACCUAAGAAAAUUACACCAAGAAAUUGCUAGUACUUAGGCAUGACGUAAAACAGUGCUAGUUCACUCUGACUGCAAUAUUAAUAUUUUACAGCUGGCACAGAAACUUCUUGCAAGGUUAGAAACAAAACAUAAUCCCAUAAUCCACAUGAUAGCAUAAGUGAACAUACACCUCAUUUCCUGAUGAGUACAUCCUGCUGCAGCACACUGCUUUCAAAAUCUGCCAAGACGCAGUAAGUUAAAGACAUUCAGGUUCUUUGUUCAUACUCAUUUGCAUCCACUCCAUACAAACCCCUGCUAGCCUUACAAAAAGAUACAUAAACAAGCAUUCCUUCUGCCACUUUUGCUUACAAACAACAACAAAAAAAAUGCCUACAAGUCAUUCCACUAAUACAGCUGGGACUCCGUGUUUAAAGCAAGCAUCAGUCGCUUUGACCAGGGGAACAGGAUACGAAGAGGAAAAUCCCAUUCAUUGCAUCUUCUAUCAGACACACAGUUUAAAUAUUAUAAAACCGUCAAGAUGUCUUUUAAACUGUCAUAAAUUAACACUGUGAAAAAUAAUCAGAUCUUCACAGUAUCUCAUCAUGUGUUAGAAGGCACCUCACUGAAGGACCAGGAGUGAGUGGGGAUGUACUGCAGGAUUCCCCACCAGACCGCUUAUUAAACAGUGCCUGCUGCUGCUUGGCAGAAAUGGGUACCUGCUGCAAAAUACAGUUUUCAGGAGCAGAAUAGUCUGCUAUCAAGGUUUCCUACAUAAACACUGCGUUAUCAACAUCAGGCAUAACUUGAGGUAGAUCCUCAAAUGGAUCCUCAAAAAUAGAGAGAUCCCCUUUCAAUGGGAUUGCACUGGAAAAUGCUGAAAAAGGUGCCAUACACCUAUGUACCAGGGAAAGCUUGACUCCAGGCAAAGCCCAAAGAAGCUGAUGUGGUUUUGUGAACUGCUAAGGAAGAGGACCUCAAAAUUCAGACCAAAAUGGAGAGGAGUGAAAUGCCUAUGUGCUAUUUUUCUCAUGAGAAUGUGUCAAAUGGAAGUUCACAAGGUUUAUCACAGUAGUAACCCUCAAAUCAAGGACACUUGAAGAACAGAAAAGCAUCAUGAAAUUUCAUUAUUCCAAAGACAAAAAAGCCAAGCAACAAAAAUCUUAAAAAUAAAAAGACCCCACAUUAAAAUUGUGAGAGGUUUCAACUUUGCGACUGGAAUUAUUUGUGCAAGAAAUUUUUAUCACAGUAAGUUCGCAAUUUACCCCAAAAUCUUUAGAAAAGUAAGAGAAGUUAACUGGCAGAUAGUUAAGGAAAGGGCUUAAACAAAAGAAUUGAUGGGCUGCAUAGAGAAAACAAGGAAGAUUACAGCAGGAGCAAGUUUCUGGAGACAUCUGCAUUGCAUCUAUAAAGAUAACCAUGCACUCAGGUCAAACGUCAAUUUCAAAAUUUUUACAUACAUCCUUUACAGGACAAAGAAUCGUCAUUCCAAACACUACAUGUGGUAAAAUCCUGAGUUUAUCCUAGAUGUUCUUGAGGAAGAAUAUGCUAUGACUGUGGGACCAAUUACAGAGAGAGAGUUUCUUCCCUGUUCAGAGACCUUCAUCUUCACUCCUCACAGGCACCAAAUACAUUUUGGUGUCAUUAUGAAAAAUAUGUACUCCAAUAACAUCAAAUAAUACAUAUUCUUAAUAAUUGGGUAUGUCUUCUCUUUUUUCCCCAUGAAAAUCUAUUUGAUAUUCACUGGCUUAGGUUUCAUGCAAUACCUGGGAGUAGAUUAUAUGAAUAAUGUAUGUUUACAUAUAGGUUAUAAUUAAGACCAUUUUUAAAUUGUGUCAAUAAUUAGAAGGAAAGUGUCAAAUUCAUGGGACAAGUGGAAGGAGCAUAGGUAUAAGAGGAAUUUGAUUUAGCAGGCUUGUGCUUCUAGGAAUGAAAGGCAAGAGUUUCCAGAAAUUAUCAUAAAUGACAACAUCCCUGGAAAAGUAUUAAACUAUAUGCUUCCAAACUUAACUCUGUCUCUAUCAGCUAGAGAUCAGGAAAACGUCAGGAGUCUGAGAUCAUUAGUGUCUUUUCUUCAGAUGCUUUUGGUAUCUAUUUCCUUCACCUGCUUCUUUUGAUCAAGAUUUCUAAAAUAUGCCUAACAAAGGUAUUACGUCUCUCUUUUACCUUUUCAUAUAGUUAAUCAGAAAUAUGUAGCCUUCUUCCACUUUGUUGGACUUGGAGCAAGUUACCUUCUUCAACAGACAGCCUAGCAACCCAGCCUUGGUUUUACCCUUUUCUCAAACAAGCAAUUCUCUUCUUUAAGCAUUAUUCAAGUCCUUUGAUUUAUCAUAGAAUCACAGAAUCAUGGAACUGGGUUGGGUUGGAAGGAACCUUAAAGAUCAUCUAGUUCCAACCCCUCCUUGCCGUUGACAGGGACACCUUCCACUAGACCAGGAUUUAGCCCAUCACUUAUUUGCAAUGCCAGUGAAACUGCAGUUUUGUUUGUUACAGCGGCUUCAAAUUCUUUGCUAGUUCCCUGUCAUCCUAGCACUUUGGAUAAUAGACCUGUAGCAGUACAUUUAAAGCAUAAGCCAUUACAGGCACUGUGUAUUUACCAAUAUAUAUUAAUUUUAUAUGUAGAUAAAUGUAUACACACAUAUACACAUGCACUCACCAACCCCAUAUAUAGAAGGACAUACACACAUCCUAUAAGUAUGCCAAUACCAGCAGCCAAUCUGAUUUAACUAUCGUAGUAGAAAAGUAUUCUUGUAACUAAAUAGACAUACCGGUACAGCAGCUUGAGUAGAAAACACCUAAAUUAUUUCAUCAUCCAAAUGAUGUAUUUAUGACAUUUCUAGGUUAGAUGGAAUGAGGUAUGCUGGGAAAACAUAACUUGAGAGAAGAAAAUACUGUUUUCUGACUUGGUGACUACUGGAAGCUUGUAGCUCAGACACUCUGUCCUUCCUUCUCCUGACACAGCUGAGCACAUGUAUGGACCCUCCCAGUAUCAGAUCAAUGUACUCCUGGCCAGUCUGGGCUGGAAUGACGACUAGAAUCUUCCAGUCUCCAUGUCCUGCAGCUUAGAAGAUUCAAAAUGCAUUUUGGCACAAGUACAAGGUAAAAUGCCAAGUGACUGUGACAGCAAGUGCAUUGCUGUGAUAGAACACCAUCUCGGAUUGUAACAGCUUCGGCACCUGGUUCUCACAUACCAUUUCUAUUUAUGAGCAAAUAGGAAUGUUGCAAUUGUACUAAUAUUAAUUUUCAAGUUUAGCUAAAGUUCUCUAGAACUGAUUUAGAGCAAUAAUAUUUUUAUAGGAAAAAGUUAUUUAGAUCUUGAUUAAAUCAAUUUUGAGGCUCACUGAAUUAGAGCUGUCUCCCUGAGCCAUAUACCGCACUACAUGCUUAAUAAUUUUUUUAAUAUAGAACUUGCUAGCAACUCUCAGUUGCAAGGUAACAAAAACAUACAUAAAUAAUAUACUAGCAAAAAUAUCUUCCCUAAAUAUACCAGCAUAUCAAGAUGCAGAGAAGCCAAAAUGAAAAAAAUGGUAUCACAUUAAGCCUACGUUCGCGAAAUAGACACAAACACUAUGUAAGCACAGAUCUAUUUUUAUCAUCCAUGUAAUUGUCAUAAACUGCAUUUAUCAUAUCUUUGAUAUCAUCACCAUUUGUACUCCAAAUCUCUAAGAAGCCUGCACACAGCCUCCCUUCAAACCAAACAGAAAAACUAAACAAUGGGGUAUAUUUACCAUAGAAAUGUUCCUCUUGACUCCAGUCUCCCUGCUCUAGCUACUGAGAUUAUUAGCCACAUUCCAGUCAGAAUCAAGGACAGUUUUACCAUCCCUCCUUGUGUAUGUCAUUUUAAUAAAAAAAAAUUUGGUUUUAAAUGUUCCCUGGUGAAGAAAUUAAAAACCCCAUCCUGAUGGAUGCUACAUUCACUUUCCCCACCUGUCUGUUUUCAUUUUAUUCUAUUGCUUUUCUUCCUGUGUCCCUUGCAAUCUACUUGCCUGCUAUCCCCUGCAAUUUCUUCCGACACUGAGACUAUUCCUUUUGUAACACUGCUCUCAGGUAAACAGGCCCCUCUUAUCUGUCAGGCUUCCUCUCAAUCUUUUUUUUUAAGCUCAUGCUUUUCCACACAUCUUUCAUACUGCUGUCUCACUCUUUACACCUUGUAUCUUCCUUCCUGAAGUAUCUGUCUUGCCUGGAGCUUAUUUUGUUGCCUUUGAUUUUAAGCCAUUAGAGACAGACAGUGUUUGCAGAAAGCCAUGUCUAUAUGUGGUUUCUAAUAGCAAUGGGGCAUGUCUUGAUGCUUUUUUCAGGCAAAAGUCACACCAGUUUAGGGUUGCUGGGGUUUUUCUAAUUGUUGAAUAAGGCCUUCAAAUUCACACACACAGAGCGCAGUACAGGAGACAAGCUGCCCAGCACAUUCCUGAAGGGUACAGAGAACAACUACUUGUGAUUUCAGACAGUUGAGGAGAUAAGAGAAGAAAGGCUGUUUUGCAUAUUAUUUACCUUAUCAGUUAAUACUUCUCAAUUAAGGCACCGGUGGAAGGUAUACAUAUAAAAACUGAUCACAAAACAAUAAAAUUCAUGAUGCCAAAGAAAGCAUGGAGUGACACAAAGAAAUGGGCUUCCAAAAGCAGAUUUUAGUUGGCUUAGGGUAUGAAUAGGUGGGUAGAUCUUUUGGAAGAAAUUCAGAAGGAAAUGGGAGCAUAGGAGAGCUGACAGAUACUGAAAGAAGCGUAUUAAAGGCACAACAGCAGACGACCCCGAUGCAAAGAAAGCACUGAAAGAGAGCAGCAAGGUUUCAUCAGGAGCUAUUUGAUCAAAUAAAAAAAAAAGAAGGAACUACACAAAAAAGUGGAAACAAGAACAGGUGACUAAAAAUGAGUUUAAAGAAUAGCAAGCUCGCACAGGGAACAAAUUGGGAAGGCUAAGAGGAAAAAUGAGAUAAAUUAGGAAAGGACCUAAAAGCCAAUAAAAGGUUACAACACACACACAUGAAGUAAGGGAGACAAAGGAAGGUUCAAAUCCAAUAUCUAUCAAGGCAGACAGCAAAUAAUGUGACACAGAGAAGACUAAAACAUUCAAUUAUCUUUUUUGCCUAGUGUGUCUACAAAAAUCUUAGCAUCAGAUAUGCACAGCAAUUAAUUUUAACAAAGGUCUCGGAAGCAAAGACCAGAAAAGGGAGGGAAUGGGUUAAGUGAUAUUAAGACAUGCCAGUUUCUGAUCCUGCUGACUUAAAAGUGUAGUUCAGAAAGCAAUGGAUAAAGCCUGCUUCCCUGUAGCCUUGUGUCUCCUGUCUGGAUUAGCCCAGAGCAAAAGCUCAGACUGAAAUUUAUGGCUGGAAUAUUCAUAAUGUUCUUCUGUGAGUUUUCCAAUGCCCAAUAUCAUGGUUUCAUUUACUCUGAAUUCCUUGUUGCCAUGGAGGACUCUCUACUUACCUGCUCAUUUUCACAAAAACUGUAGAAAUGUGGUACCUUUGAUACCACAACUUCUCAGUCCAGUUCAGUUGGAAAGUGAGCAACAAGUUCAAAAGGCAUGGUGUGGUCUGGCUGGUCAUACAGUGUGGUUAUACGAACUGUGUUUCCAUAGGAAAAUGUGCUAAAAAUUACCCUGGAGCACUUAAAAAGAUAAAAUAAUCUCUGCAUGAUGACUGAGGGGUGGGGGGGAGUUGUGGUUUAGGGUUUGUUUGGAUUUUUUUGAGAAUUUUUGGAGUACAAGGGAGGUCCUAGAAGACUGUGAAGGAUGAAAAUACUGCCUGGCCUGUCUUAGGAAUUAGAGUUCAACUGACCUAACUCUCAUAAAUACAUCAUCCAUCUCUCAGGCAUACUACCAUAGGUUAUUAGGCAGUGUUAGUGUAUAAGCAGGAAGAUAACAAUACUAUAGAAAACAAUUAAGUAAUAAGAUGUUAAAAUGUAAUUAGGAUA